rnacentral:lncRNA from 1 species
UGGCUAUUCAUCCUAUCCGACAAAAAUAGUCAGUACAGUCCGAGCUGCCAAACGAGGCCUUAAAGUUUCAGCAAGCGGUGGUUAGCGUCUUCAUAGUAAUUUCCGGCAAGCAGUGGUCUAGUUAUUAAAUCACAGCAUUCAGAGUUUAACACCUUCAAAGCUUUAGGGUUUGUUUGAAAAGUGUUUUUAAAAUAACUAAAAACGCUUUUAAUAACAAGAUUUUUUGAAUUAGUCCUUAAUAAAAGUUCAAGUGGAUACUAGAUAUCCACUUUAAUUGUUUUAUACAAGAAGUACAUAUCUGAUUUAUCUGAUUUAUUCCAAAAAAACACUUACAUUGCGUUUGGAUACGGUAAAAUAAAGCAGAAUUUCACCUAAAUUAGGGAAUUUAGGAUGGGAAAGCAGUUUUCCCUCGUUUGGGAACCUUGCAGCGCGAGAAACGGCAUUUCUAAGGGAAAAAAGGUGGAAAUUGGAGAUGAAGAUUUCUGAGUUUAAUUUCUGUCUAAAGAUGUGUAAUUUCACAAUUCCAACAAUGAUGAGAAUCCUAAAUUCAUCUGCAGGGAAAUUUAAUUUCAGGAUUAGGGCGCCAAACUAGGAUGUAUACUGCCAAAUUUCACACUAAAAGAAGGGUUGCAUCUUCACUUUGUUAACUCUCCAAUCUUAAAAGAGAUUUUUCGGUCGUGCAAUCAUCUUCUUCCUUUGUUCUUCUAGGUCAGUGUCUUUCCUCUCUUCUUUCUUGAAUUAUUUUUAGCUUUCUGGGUACACUCAUUAUAUAAUUGUGAAUUUUGCUGAUAGUUUUAUUUUUGGUGUGCUUAUUAUGUUUUUU